CAUUCCUAACAUCUAUGGAUUGCCUCAUAUAUGUCACCACAUCUUCCCACCAGGCUUGCUUUCCCUACACUCCAAGAUGGAGUUCGAACAGGGCAGAGGAAGAACGGCACUUCUGACAUCAGAGGCUCCAGCUGAAAGGUUCCAAAUCUAGGAGCUGGAGUCCAUGACUCACAGGUCUUAUAGUUGAUGCUAGCUUUUGGCUGAAGCCUCAAUUCGUCUUCAGUGGGCCUCUCCCUAUUGGCUAAAAUUUGGGCUUCCUCACAGCAUGGUGGCAAGAUUCUAAGGGCAGGAAUCCAGAGAGAGAAAGGGCCAAGCAGAAGCCAUAUUGUCUUCGAUGACCUGGCCUCAAAAAUCAUGCAAUACCUUUCAUUCAUUGAGGCCGUCACAAAGCUCCACCCAUUCUCAAUGGGAGAGAAAUAAAUACUGACUCUCAAUGGGGAGUGGGAAGGUUCUGGGAGGGCAUAUGGCACCCAGAAUAUGGCUGUAGGCAUUUGUAAAUGGGGUUGUUGACAUUGAGCUUUCAGGAAGAGAAGAUUAAGACACAGAGAUACCAGAGAGGUCGUUCACAGAGGAAAGACCAUGUGAAGACGCAGUGAGAAGGUGGCCAUAUUCAAGCUGAGGAGAGAGACCUCAGAAGAAACCAAUACUGCCAACGCCUUGGUCUUGGACUUCCAGCCUCCAGAACUGUCCUGGAUCAGAAGAUGCCUGACAAGAGGCCACUAUCAGCAGCAACAGCACAGUGGGGACAAACCUGAGACCUUGAUGGACCGUGGACACCAGCAGGAGAGACAGAGGAACUUGAAGUCUAAAUGGGCAGACAAGACCAACAUACACAAAGCAGAGAGUGGCACAAGAGCCAUGUCUGAUGCAACAGUGACUCAGGAGGAUCACUCUGACUCAGAAUGGCCAAGCAAAGAAUUGAAAUUGAGUAACGUUUAACAGAAGGUGUCUGAUUACAACAAUGCCCUGGCUGUGAAGAGAACAAAUUCAGAACUUUCUCCUAAGGAGAGAAGGAGCAAACUGUUACUCUCUUGUCAAAUCCAGUUUUCUUUUAAUCUCUGAUAAUGUUUCACAUUGAACCAAUGCCUUUAAUAUGACUUAGUGCUUUAGGAAAAUAGUAUCACCUCAGGAUAUUUAGGUAACUAAACCAGCAGAUCCAAUAAGUGUUAUCUUUCAGAGUCAGCCUUCUGAAGGAGGCUAGAUGCACAUGUGAAUGACUUUGCCAUAGCACAGAAUGCGUCUGGAUCAUACUUCUGGAAAUUCCUCUGGAACCACUGUGUAAAUGAAGCUAUCAGGAAAUCUCAUUGCUUUGUAAUCAUGCUUUACUUUUGACUAAAAA
rnacentral:lncRNA from 1 species